AACGAACGCUGGCGGCGUGCCUAACACAUGCAAGUCGAACGAGAAAGUUUCCUUCGGGGAAUGAGUAAAGUGGCGCAAGGGUGAGUAACACGUGAAUAAUCUGCCUUCGAGACUGGGAUAACUUGAUGAAAGUUAAGCUAAUACCGGAUAAGACCACGCUUCACAAGGAGUGCGGCAAAAGGGGUCUCAAACCCUGCUUGAAGAUGAGUUCGCGUACCAUUAGCUUGUUGGUGAGAUAACAGCUCACCAAGGCGACGAUGGUUAGCCGGCCUGAGAGGGUGAUCGGCCACACUGGAACUGAGACACGGUCCAGACUCCUACGGGAGGCAGCAGUGGGGAAUUUUGCGCAAUGGGCGAAAGCUUGACGCAGCAACGCCGCGUGAGGGAUGAAGGUUUUCGGAUCGUAAACCUCUGUCAAGUGGGAAGAAAAAAAUGACGGUACCACUAAAGGAAGCCCCGGCUAACUUCGUGCCAGCAGCCGCGGUAAUACGAAGGGGGCGAGCGUUGUUCGGAAUCAUUGGGCGUAAAGCGUAUGUAGGCGGUCAAAUAAGUCAGACGUGUAAGCCCUCGGCUCAACCGAGGAAUUGCGUUUGAAACUGUUUGACUUGAGGGCAGGAGAGGAAAGCGGAAUUCCCAGUGUAGCGGUGAAAUGCGUUGAUAUUGGGAAGAACAUCUGUGGCGAAGGCGGCUUUCUGGCCUGCUUCUGACGCUGAGAUACGAAAGCUAGGGGAGCGAACGGGAUUAGAUACCCCGGUAGUCUUAACGCCGUAAACGAUGUCAACUAACUGUUGGGCGGGUUUCCGCUUAGUGGUGCAGCUAACGCAAUAAGUUGACCGCCUGGGGAGUACGGCCGCAAGGCUAAAACUCAAAUGAAUUGACGGGGGCCCGCACAAGCGGUGGAGCAUGUGGUUUAAUUCGAUGCAACGCGAAGAACCUUACCUACCCUUGACAUACAGAGAACUUUCUAGAGAUAGAUUGGUGCCUUCGGGAACUCUGAUACAGGUGCUGCAUGGCUGUCGUCAGCUCGUGUCGUGAGAUGUUGGGUUAAGUCCCGUAACGAGCGCAACCCUUAUCCUUAGUUGCUACCAUUUAGUUGGGCACUUUAAGGAGACUGCCGGUGAUAAACCGGAGGAAGGUGGGGACGACGUCAAGUCAUCAUGGCCCUUAUGGGUAGGGCUACACACGUGCUACAAUGGCUGGUACAGAGGGCUGCUAACUUGCGAGGUGGAGCUAAUCCCAGAAAGCCGGUCGUAGUUCGGAUUGGAGUCUGCAACUCGACUCCAUGAAGCCGGAAUCGCUAGUAAUCGCGAAUCAGAAUGUCGCGGUGAAUACGUUCCCGGGCCUUGUACACACCGCCCGUCACACCAUGGGAGUGGAUUGCACCAGAAGUAGGUAGCUUAACCUUCGGGAGAGCGCUUACCACGGUGUGGUUCAUGACUGGGGUG
rnacentral:rRNA from 1 species